rnacentral:rRNA from 1 species
UAGGGAAUCUUCGGCAAUGGACGGAAGUCUGACCGAGCAACGCCGCGUGAGUGAAGAAGGUUUUCGGAUCGUAAAGCUCUUUUGUUAGAGAAGAACGUUGGUAGGAGUGGAAAAUCUACCAAGUGACGGUAACUAACCAGAAAGGGACGGCUAACUACGUGCCAGCAGCCGCGGUAAUACGUAGGUCCCGAGCGUUGUCCGGAUUUAUUGGGCGUAAAGCGAGCGCAGGCGGUUCUUUAAGUCUGAAGUUAAAGGCAGUGGCUUAACCAUUGUACGCUUUGGAAACUGGAGGACUUGAGUGCAGAAGGGGAGAGUGGAAUUCCAUGUGUAGCGGUGAAAUGCGUAGAUAUAUGGAGGAACACCGGUGGCGAAAGCGGCUCUCUGGUCUGUAACUGACGCUGAGGCUGGAAAGCGUGGGGAGCAAACAGG